AGCAACGUGGCUUAGUGGAAAAAGCAUGGGCUUGGGAGUCAGAGGAGCUGGGUUCUAAUCCCAGCUCUGCCA
rnacentral:tRNA from 1 species